GACAUGGGCGCAAGCCUGAUCCAGCCAUGCCGCGUGUGUGAAGAAGGCUCUAGGGUUGUAAAGCACUUUCAGUAGGGAGGAAGGCCAGAGUGUUAAUAGCGCUUUGGAUUGACGUUACCUACAGAAGCAGCACCGGCUAACUCCGUGCCAGCAGCCGCGGUAAUACGGAGGGUGCAAGCGUUAAUCGGAAUUACUGGGCGUAAAGCGCGCGUAGGCGGUUUGUUAAGUGUGAUGUGAAAGCCCAGGGCUC
rnacentral:rRNA from 1 species